rnacentral:lncRNA from 1 species
AGAGGCUAGUCAGUGGUGGCACACACCUUUAAUCCCAGCAGCCACAUUUGUUAGCCAUAGAAACUGAGCAGUGGUGGUGCAUGCCUUUAAUCCCAGCACUAGAGAGAAACAUAAGGAAGGUGGAGACAGGAGUACAGUGUAUUCAGUCUGCAGUCACACUGAGGACAGGAUCGCCCCUUUUGGUCUGAGCCUUGGUAGAGAUAACUUACUUCAACAAUCCCAGAACCAACCAAGGAAGUAUUUCCUGUCCUGUGAGCAAAUUAAGCCAGAAGAAGGUACCAGAUCUCAUUACAGAUGUCUGUGAGCCACCAUGUGGUUGCUAGGAAUUGAAUUCGGGACCUCUGGAAAAACAGUCAGUGCUCUUAACCACUAAGCAAUCUCUCCAGCCCCCCACCCUACCCCAUGGCAUUGUAAAAGUUUACAUUUAUUAUGUUCAUCAUGGAAAAUAAACAGGCACAUCCAUUGAAAACAAUCAAUUUGUACAAAAAUGAACCAAGUUAGAAGUCAAUGCAGCUGUAUUUCCCCACAGUUCUUUGUCUUUG